AUUAGGAAUAUUAUAUUUUCUUGCUAAUACAAUAAGUACAAUGAAACAUGCUGAAAAUUUAAUUGUUAAUAGCCAAAGUUUCUUACGAGCCUACAUAUGUAGUUUGUUUUCUUAUAGCUUAAGAGGAAACAAUCGUAUUUUCUAGGAGCUCAUUAGUCAUUACUAAAUGUAUUUUGGGGAAUCAUGCUAUUGAUUAUAUGGUGACCCUCUCAAAAAGAUAUUUUUACUCCAUCACUAUUUCAUUUUCUGAGUUCGUCAACUAUAGUUGCAUGUUUUCAUUUGUUGUGUUUUGAUCAAAGAUCUGUGAGAGUUUGAGCUUGAAUUUUGUGGUGCAAUUGCUCUUACAAAUUAAGUUAGAAGUGUUGGGUUCUUGGUUUAAGAUAAUUCAGCUAUCAAGAAGCAAGAGUUUUUUUUAAUUUAGAUAUUGAUUGAAAUUUUAUCGAUUUGUAUAACUAAUUGAAAGAAAUUUAUUUCUCCAGGCAAUGACAUAAAUGAGUUUGAAGCAAAAUCUCAGUUAAAAAGGGCUAAAGUGAUAAGUGAUUCUUAUCUUCUGCAGUUCUGCAUUAUAAAUAGUGUCUAAAAAGGUUAACGAGUUUGAGUUGCAAAUGGAUUGUUAAUUAGCUCUGACAAUUUGGAAUGCUUUCCUCUUUAAUCGUUGAACUUUAUUGAUGGAAGACAAGUAGACAACUGUAAGUACAUGUCUCAUAUAAGUUCCAUAUGAUAAUUAUUUACUAAUACAGGCUUACAUUGUGUUUUAUCUUAAGACAUGUUAUAUGAUUUCCAGGUUUAGACAACUUAUCAUAUUGAAUUGGGCAUAGGCCAGUGAUUAAAGGGAAGAUACAUCAGGUUUGUUCUUUUCUUUUCUCCUCAUCGGAACUCAUACAGGUGAUUUUGUGGUAGUUAUAAAAUAAUCAUGUAUUGUUUCAUAGCAUGUCACUUUUAAAAAAAUUUAGAUGAUCUCACCCUUGAGGUAACUUAUGCCACAUUUUUUCACAUUCUUUUCUAUUUAUUCUAGUUCUUUGUGUCUCUUCUAACUUAGUAUUUUGUUCACAUAUAGAAUCACAAUAUGUAUUAAUAUGCAUUAAGUUUAUAUUGAAUUUUGUGUUACUGCAUAUUAUUUUCCUUCAUUGGUGCAUUUGAGUAUACCAACUGAGCAUGAAGAGGAUUAGCAUGAAAAUGUGUGGGACAAAUGUAUUUUGUUUUUAAGGAGUUAAACUGCAUGGUUUCUGUUGGUGUAAAUAUUAGUCUCAAAUUUAUACUAUAAUGUAAUGUUAAAGUUGUUUAUCAUUGACUUCUAAUUUGUUUAAUGCUCAAAAGUGUUUAUAAACUUUUGCUACUAUAAUAUUCCAGAAAUUUAUAAUUAUUUACUAAUUAUUCUUCGGAGAUAUUUAAAUUGAUGGUGAUCCGAUUAUAUAGUACGAAGGAGAAAACGAAAAAGUUCGAUCGAUUUAUACAUCGAAACGUUAUCGUGACUGGUCAAGAGUUGCCUUUUUAUCCGUUAGGAAUCUCAGAAAACUUCAUUCAUGGAAGUCGUAGAGUUCGUCAAUACGAAUUUGUGGACAUGCGGCACGCUUAAAUUAGAGUUCGUAUGAAGAAGUUACGAAUCAAAAUGUAUUAAGACAUUUUUAGAAAAUAGAAUAAAUAUGGCAAUUAAAGAGAAAAAGGGGGAGGAAAAUUAGAAUUCGGAUAAGUACUGUUCAUGGAUAUUGUUCACACCCGAAAAAAAUCCAGAAAUUCUCUCCCCGAGCAGCUGACUUUAGACCGCCGGAUCUCCGCCGUCCGGCCACCAUAGAGCGGCGCACCGGUCACGUUUGAAAGGUUGCUACGUCCCCUGUCGAUUGGUGGCAGCGCCACCCGCCAUCUUGCCGCCUUUAGGAGCGGUGAAGCCCGAAAGUUCGCCCGAAAAUGCAUAUUUCGUCGAACUUCAACUCGUCAAAUAUCCCUCCUCCGGUAACCAAUCAGUGACCGACGAAAUGAGUGAGGGAAUCGCUUUCGGUGUCGUGGAAGUUACACGCGGGAAAUAAGGUGAGUAAACCUCACAAUGAUCAUCAUGAUCGGAGUAGUGUUAUAAUUAUUGAAUUUAGUUUGAGUUCUUACCAUAGUCUUUGCAUCACUAGUUAUAAAAAUUAUUU